rnacentral:lncRNA from 1 species
GUGAUGAGGCCAGGUAGACCAGGUUCAAAGUUAGCAGGUGAUGAGGCUGGGUGAACUAGGUUCAAAGCCAGUGUGUUCCCUUGGGGGAGCUAUUUAACAUCUCGCCCUCUCAUUUCUUUCUUCCUAUGGAAGAUGCAGGAUACUGAGAGUCCCUGGUUUCAGGGUUAACAGCAUAGACUCCAUCAGACUGCCUGAGUUUGAAUUCUGGCCCCACCACUGCUUGCUGUGCGGCUUUGGGCAGGUCACUCGACUCUGCCUCAGCCGGCUCGUCUGUAAGCUGAGAUUGAAUAGUACCCGUCUCACUGGGGUGUUGGAGGAGGAUAAUAAAGGCUUGGAAUAGUGCAAGGCGGACACUAAGUGCUGUGUAAGCUUUUGCAUUAAUGAACCACUGAAAGGGGCGUUACAUGAUAAAAUGGAUGUAAAAUGUGGGCUCAGUCCACUUUAGUUCUUUUGCUUAUUAACCUUGGCAGAGAGUAAACUCUGAUAAUUUGGCCUGAUUUCCCAUUAGAUGUUCCAUUUUCCUGUUAAAACCAUCAUCAGCAAAUCAGGGGAAAUCUUGGUGCUCCUUGCCACCCAGCAAGAGAAGAGCAUUGGGCUUCAGAGUUAGACUAGACUUUUGAAUCCUGGUUCUGGCAUGCACUAGCUGUGGAAUUUGCCCCUGCGUCUUAGCUUUUUUUGGUCUGAGCAAUGGGAAUUAGGAUGCCGGGAGGGUGAGCCAGGUGUGUAUGGCUGUCUCCACUUUAUUGAUGAGCAAACAGGUUCAGAGAUUUGCCCACGGUCACACAAUUAGUAAAGAGCCAGCUAGAGCCUAGAAGCUCUGCAGACUGUGCCCAGGAUUGUUCAGGAGUCCCUCUGUUACUCCAUCAUGCUGCUGCUCUGAAAUAAUGGUCUUUUUUUUCUCACUUUCAAAGUCCAGACAUCUUCCUUAAAGAGUUUUAACCAGGCAGUUCAAAUGACGUCGUCAGUGGAGAAGAAAUUUCUGCUGCUUCUAUAAAUGCAUGGUGUUCUUUUAGACCUUUCUUAAUUGCACCAUUUGGGACUUUUUCUGCAAAAGCAUUUAGUUAUUUAGUUCAUGAAGCUAUAUUUAGUGAAAAUUGCAACUAAUAAAGUUGCGGGGCACCCUUAUUAUAUCUUGAGGCUGUAGCUCUGUUGUUUGAUGACAUUUGUAAAGCGACAAUAAAUAUAACUUACAUGUUUUGUUUCAUUUACUUCUCUUUGCAGGUAUCUUUUGUGGGGUGUGAAAAAUUGAAAUGAGAAAUCUGGUUUUACAGAGGAGUUACUGCUGUUUAAAAACAUGGUGUUUGGCGCCAUGACAAAGCUAUUUGAAGCCCUGAAUGAUGACGGUCCAUUGAGAAUGAUUAAGAAUGUGCUAAAAAUUGUUUUACAGAUGGAUGGUGAAUUAUAGCGAUUGUUCCUAAGUUUAAGCGACACAUUUUGUGGUUGUAGCUUAAAAACUUGUCACGUUGAGAUACUAGGUAGCAUUAGUUACUAGAAUGGGAAAAUAACAUUUUAAUUUGUUAUUUAAGUUGGUUGGAUACAAAGAAAGUUCCCAGUCAUCAUGACUUUCAAUUCUUGAUCUGUUAUUGUCAGUGAUCCAAUUUGGAUGAAACUAUUUGCAAAGGACAGCUUCAGUUGGAAAAAUGGGCCUUUCAAAUGUUGUGGAACGUUUGUGCUAGAAGCAUCCUUUUAGAGGACUGAUGGUCCAGUUCAUUCACUAAUGAUGGGGAGCCUGAGGCUCAGAACAAUGGCUUCCUUAGAACCUAAACGAGGAUGUUGAAUAAUCUCAUGGUAGAGAUAUGGUUAAUAAUAUCUUAACAAUUGCAGUUCUUGCUCACCUUUACUUCUUAAAGAGGCUCAGUUGUGUGUGUUUCACAUCGUCAAUUGUGAUGUGAAAACCAAGGCUCAGAGAGGUUAAGUAAUUUAUCCAAGGUCACACAGCUAGUGAGUCCUGGAUCCUUAGGUUUUCUGGAAUUCUAGAAUAUGAUCUUUAAGAAAAACUCUAGAAACUGUUUUCUAAUUUAAACUAAGACUUCCAGCUUGAUUUUUUGCCAACUUUCUGUCAUUUCCAGUUAUCUGACCAUACAAUAGAAAGCCAACCUCGCUGAGUAUUUUAGGACGAGGGUUUCUUUUUAGAGAAGGUGGGAGAGUUGAGGUAGUUACAGGUAAAUCUAGCCAUCUCUCCCUUCUUAAGAAGAUGUUCAGGAAGAAGCAAGCAUAAAGCCAGUUGAUGUGUAAGUUCAUGGACUCAUGAAACGAAAGGAAGCAAUCACGGACCAUUCAUGAAACACCUGCUCUGUGCCCUUCACUCGGCUGUGUAUAAACCCUGUAUAAACCCCUGAUGUUGAUGAGCCAUAGGUCCUUUUCAGGAUUUAUUGUCCCCUUAGGCAGCAGGGGUUCCUUCACCUGUGGAAGAAGUGGCAGGAGCCUGGGGAGUUUUUUGCUGGUCCAGUGCGGGAAGUCGAUGGGGAAGCCAGUCUUGAAUUCACCUUCUAAUUCCAAGACCAGGGUUCUUUGCCCUGCCCCACAGUUACGUGACCAUAUGUUUCUGUAGGUUUAUAUGCAAUAUAAAUCUCCAAUCGGAUGGCUGGGGAGUGCUUUUUCUGGCUCUGUGGCUUCAGCUGUCUGAAAGGAAUGCCUUUCAUAAACAUGGGGAGGGAAUUGCAUUUUCACUUUGUGAUAAUUCAUGUUGCACUAGCGGGAAAGGUCAUUAGCGUGGGGAAUUCCACUAGUCCCUGGAGCGGUGGGUCCUAAAUGAGUGGGCCUGCCCUCCGACAGUCACAUUUUUUCCCUUUGGGUAUUUAAUACCACAAGUGUGGUUUCUUUAUUUUAUUUUUUUUUUUUGAGAAAUUUCAUGAAUGAAAGUUUAGAACUCAAAAGAAAGGAAAAAUAAAACCUCACCCAUAAACUCAUCAUUCUUAAAUAGCUAUUGUUAGAGUUUAUUUUUUUUAUUGUGGUGAUAUACCCAUACAUACAAUUUACCAUUUUAACCACUUUUAAGUGUCUGGUUCAGUGGCGUUAAGUACACUCACGUUAUGCAUGUUCACAUUUUCGUACCACCAUCCUUUUCCGAAACUUUUUCAUCUUCCCAAACUGAAACUCCACACACAUUAGACAGUCACUCCCCAUUUCUCCCUCCCCAUAGCCCCUGGCAGCCACCAUUCUACUUUCUGUUUCUGUGAGUUUGACGAUUACAGAUACUUCCUAUAGGUGGAGUCAUACAGUACUUGUCCUUUUGUGGCUGGGUAAUUUCACUUAGUGUAAUGUUUUAAGUUUCAUCUAUAUUGGAGAAUGUGUCAGAAUGUGCUUCCUUAUUAGGGCUGAAUAAUAUUCCAUUGUGUGUAUAGACCACGUUUUGUUUACCCAUUCGUCUGAUGAUGGACACUUGGGUUGUUUCCAUAUUUUGGCUAUUGUGAGUAAUGCUGGUAUAAACAUGGGUGUACAAAUACCUAUUUGAGUCUCUGCUUUCCAUUCUUUUGAGUAUACACCCGGAAGUGGAAUUGCUGGAUCAUAUGGUAAUUCUGUGUUUAGUUUUUUUGAGGGACCGCCAUACUGUUUUCCAAGUUGGCUGUACCAAUUUACAUUCCCACCAGCAAUGUACAAGUGUUACAAUUUCUCCACAUCCUCGCCAUUACUUGUUAUUUUCUGUAUUUUGAUACUGGUCAUGCUAAUGGAUAUGAAGUGAUAUCUCACUGUAAGUUUUGAUUUGCAUUUCCCUAGUGAUUAGAGAUGUUGAGCAUCUUUUCACGUGUUUAUUGUUAGUAUUUUACAAUACUGUCGUUAUUAUUUAACAAUAAUACUGUUAAUAUUUAUCUUCCCUGUGUUUACCUUGGCAUGUUUUUUUUCCUCUUUCCUGAAUGUAGGCAUGGCCUACACUAAACUAUGUUCAGUAUAUUCCAUAUCGUCCACCAUCAACAGGUUUAGUGUCGCAGCAAAGUGUGAACGUCUAUCUCACACUUACCCAAUUGGUGAUGUAUUUGGUGAUAAUUCUGACCAGGCCAAGUUCUUCUCCUUAGGAAACCCAAGCUCAUUGGGAUUUUAGCAGCCAUCUGUCGGUAAUACCACGGGGCCAUGCACGUUGUGAAGACUUCUGGAUUUCAAGUAAGAGGCCCUGGGUUUUAUUACAGAGUGAAAGGAGGCUUAGGACCAGUUAAGACUCUUCUUUAAAUGCUGAUGCCCAGAGGGUCAGGAACAGCCUGUCUGUGACGUGUAUGUCCCAGGGACUUGGACCCUUCAAUGAAUGGGUUAAUUGCAUAGCUUCGAUUUCAAAGUGGAAAGCGGGAUUUGUGGGGUUGAGCACACCCUUCUUCUCCACGACGGUGUUCUAAACUUCCUUUUGUCUUUUAUUUGAAAUCUGGAGAACGUUUUUCAUAGAAACAAUGUUACCGGGGUGACCGUUUCCCAGGAUACCUCUAAAGGCCAGGGAACCCACACGUUCCAUUCACUGGAGCCAGCCCGGCACGUCGGCAAGAUCAGACUGACGGAGUUUGCACCUGGCUGAGCCCCGCCCCUCUGAGUCCAUUUCCUCGUCCAUACCACAGGGAUAAUACUGCCUGGUGUGCAUUGUUGUUGAGAAAAAGAAAAGCAGUGAUUAAUGACUGUAUCGUAUCCUAAGCCACAAAUUUGGUGACUUAAAACAAUGCUAGUUUAUUCUCUCCCAGUUCAGCAGCCAGAAGUCCCAAAUCACUAUCACUGGUUCCACAUCAAGCUGUGGGCAGGGCCACACUCCCUACGAGGCUCCAGGGAGCAUCUAUACCUUUCCUCUUCCAGCUUCGGGUGACUGCUGGCAUUCCUUGGCUUGUGGCUGCGUCACUCCCAUCUUUGCUCUGUGAUCACGUUCCUUUCUCCUUUUCUCCGUGCGUCUUCUCCUCUUAUAUCUGUGAAAUCCCCCUCUGCUUCCAUUUUAUUAGGAUACAUGCGAUUGCGUUUUGGUUAAGAUCCUUUUACCAUAAAAGGUAGUAUUAACAGAUUCUGGGGUUUGGGCUCGGGGAAUAUCUUUGGGGGAUAUAUUUUAGCCUUCUACUAUGAGGAAUAAUAGUAAUAGUAUUCUCCACCAAUGUUUUUAUGUGAUGGGAUUGUCUUAAAGUUCUUUACACAGAUCCCCUGAGAUCACGGGUGGAGCAGGGAACAGUUAUGGUCUUAACGGCCACAUGGUGAGUGUUUAAGCCCCUGGCACAAGACAGAAGCCCAGUGCAUACUAACUUAGUAUAUUUAUUUUCUUUUCCUUUUUUUUUUUUUUUGAGAGGAAGAUUGACCCUGAGCUAACAUCUGUUGCCAGACUCCCUCUUUUUGCUUGAGGGAGAUUGUCCCUGAGCUGACAUCUGUACCAGUCUUCCUCUAUUUUGUGUAUGGGACUCCCCCAUAGCAUGGCUUGAUGAGCAGUGUGUGGGUCUGUGCCUAGGACUGAAGCUGUGAACCCUGGGCCACGGAAGUGGAGCGCAUGAACUUAACCACUGCACUGGUGGGCUGGCCCCUAACUUAGUAUAUUUCUAAGAAUUUUCUGCUACACCACCUUGACUCUUGUUCGUUUUUUUUGACUAACAUCUGCUGCCAAUCCUCCUCUUUUUGCUGAGGAAGACUGGCCCUGAGCUAACAUCCGUGCCCAUCUUCCUCUACUUUAUACAUGGGACGCCUACCACAGCAUGGCUUGACAAGUGGUGCCAUGUCUGCACCCGGUAUCCAAACCAGUGAACCCCCGGCCGCCAAAGCAGAAUGUGCGAACUUAACCGCUGUGCCACCGGGCCAGCCGCUCUUAUUGGGUUUUAUUCUAAGUUCCUUUUGUGCAUCUUUUCUUCUUCUCUUUUUUAUCUCGAUGGACCUAGUUGUGUGGGUACCAACAGUGUUUGUUUUGAGGGUUGGGACUUGGGAUCACUAGCUCGGAAGAGGCAGGAGGAUGCCAUACCGAAUCUUGCGGGUUCAUCACACUUGGGGAAAACCCUUCCUUUAGGAGCCCAUGGGGGUGUUUCAAGUCUACUGUCCCUGUGGAGCCUGUGGAGACCUCUUCCGAGACACAAACUGGUGUCAUUCCUAACUUUUCCUGAGUGUGUUUUUACCUGCCCAAGGAAUCUUGCCCCGGACAAUGGCCAUGACCAGGAGCCUUGCUCGUUUUUGAAAUCCCUUGCUCCAUGGAAAUUCUGACCGAUUCCAGUUUCCUUCUGCAGGAUUCCUGAGUGUUGCUGUCAUUGCGUGCCUGAACAUGGUGGUGGAGGUUUGGGAGCCUGUAAAGUUGCUGAUUUCACACUGCCCUUGCUGGUUCUAGAAGAGGCUUGUUAGGUUAAUUCAAUGAGCAUGGGUUUGUUGGGUGCCUGGCUUGUGCUAGGCGCUGAAGGACUUGCAAAGAUGGAGCUCCUAAGCUCAGUCGGUUGAGGUAGAAUCAAGUAUUGAUGCCAGUGGGUGCCAAGCUUCAGCGGGCAUCAGAAGCACCUGCAGGGCUUGCUAAAGCCCAGGUUGCUGGCCCAGAGCUUCUGAAGCAGCAGGUCAAAGGUGGAGUGCCAGAAUUUUAAUUCUGAUGCUACUGGUCCGGGGCCCACACUUUGAGAAGCGCUGUGCAAUGAGGUCAUGGAGGACAGAGUAAUUAACAACCCAGAAGGCUUUGCAGAGGUGGGAGUUUUCCAGGUGGUCUUAGAAGGAUGGGUUGGAUUUUUUUUUAGAUGGACAAAAGAAGAUGGGGCAUUUUAGGCAAACGAGGUAUGUGUGGUUGGGUAGGGAAUGGAAUGGUGGGUCAUGAUUUUGGAGGGGGGCUGGAUAUCAAAGAAAGGGGGAAGGUAGAGAACAAGGUGUAGGAAGAUUUUUUCUUUGAGGGCACAGGAAGCUUGGGCUGCUGUGAAAGUGUAGUCGCUACAGAAAGCUAAGCGUGCCCCUUGUCAAAGAGUUGCCAAACCAGGCCAGACCCUUCUGCCUGCUUCUGUGUCAGAAGCUCAAAGUGGGUUUGGAAGCUGCAUGUACAUGUGUGAUAGAAAUAACGAGAGUUGGAAGCAAGAAAUCAUGUGACUCUAUCUUGCUUUCCGUCUCUCCCCAUUUCUAACCCAGGCUUUCCACUGGAACAAAGUCAGCUUUGUCCUGUGGUCCCACCCAGCUGCAGGCUCCAGGAGGCCUGUUUCUUUUGCAGUGAGAGGGACCACACCCAGCCCUGCCGGUGCGCGCGGGCUCUGCAGUUCAAAUCUUGGAGGACUGGAGGAUUGUGGUUGUGUCAAAAUUGAAAUCAAAAUGAGUUUUUGACUUUCUACCUUGUAACUUCACAUUUUUGGCAGCCGCAUUCCUGACCCUGAGCCGUUGGUGGCUCACCUUUAGAACCCUAGAAGCAAGAACCUAGAAUUUACAACUUCUCUCGUUCAACCAGUUUGGUUGGAUAAUUGCCUUUUCAGUUGAAAACAGUUUUUACUUUCUUUAGUCCUGGGUUUGCAUUACGUUUUGGGGCGAACGUCUUUGAUGCUACAGUCGGUGAGUUCUUAAUUUCAACUCUCAGAUCAUGAGGUGGAAGGAAUCGGGGAGACGGUGAGAGGAGGGUGGGGUCAGAGCAGCUUUUGAGAUACAAAGGAUUUUUUUCCCCUCAGAAAUGUCCCCCUGUGGCAUUCCUUUGGGAGAAUGUGCCGGAACGUUGUUUUUGCAGGCAGGUCUGGUUUGAUGUAAAGAAAACAACGGGCAGGCGUGAUUCCUAUACAAGACACUCCUUUAAAAUAAAUUCAGAAUUUCACUCUUCCAUUAAAGGUGUGGUCUGCUUUCUAAGGAGCUUAUUUUGACAGCCUGAUUCCACUGUGGAAGAAAUGACUCGCCCUGAGAGAGGGUGAGAGUUUAUGGGUUGCCCUCUUGGGUGGCUAUGCUGCAGUGAUGAAGUUUGCAUUUUGGAAGAUGGUGGCGUUGACACUCACAAGGAAGUCUGCUUAGUAAUGAACAUGGGCAUCUGAGAUAGUGAGAAAAUGGACUAAGGCGUCAAUUAAAGCAUCGUGGUCUAGUGGGUUGAUGGCUCUGUUCGAGGUGUUAAUGUUAUCAGAAGCCUGACCUCCACAUGUUCUGGAAGUCAUCAGGUUGGACGUGAGACAAGGAGGAGGCGGUGCAGGGUCCUCAGCUGACCUGGGAUGCUUUUCUUGAUUGUGCGCUGGACACAUAGGAAGAGCAUUUCCCCCACCUCAAUCCGCAGUUGGCCCUGAUAGUAAGUGUUUCCCAUUUGUGGUUGAUUCAUUCUGAGAGCUUUUCAUGUCCUUGGGGGUUCUUCACUGUUAGAUUUGAGAAGAAAAAGGACAGCUUCUCUUUUAAGUCUGAUGAAAACCAUCUGAGCAAGACGUGUGUACAUAUGCUGUGGCUUUCUGCUUGUCUUAUGGACACUCAGCUCCUCCCCCGGCUCUCAGGAAAUCCGUAUGAGGAAGGGAAUUUUUACUUUGGGACCCUUAGAUCCUGUGUCCUAAUGUUACAAAGAAAAUGAAUUCUGACCACUUUUGAGGCUUGUCAAAGUUUUUUCUCUGCAGCUCUGGAAUUUUCUCUCGUGUGCUUUCAGAGUGGCCAAAUCCACGGGCACCUGGGAGCUUUGCUCUGGAGAGAUCCGCUGAUGUGGGGAUGAAGUGCAGAGGUGAGGAGUCAGGUCAUAACUCUUCCAUCAGGGCUUUGCCGCCUGCCCAGUGUCGUGUUUGCAGUCCCCAUGAACUUGGAAAAAUGCUCCCUGAGCACUGCUCCCAUCCACCGGGGUCGUUGUGCAGAUUUCCAGAUGUUGAACUUGUGCAGGUGACGUAACCCCAGCUGGUGUUGCAGGGGGGCUGGCUGAGUCAUGCUCACAACUUUGGGAUUUAGAGGCAGGAACUCCAUGGAGGGAGAUGGUGCCUGGUUAGUCUGUUGGCAUGUUCUUUAAAUCCUGGGCCUUCCCCAAGACUGAGGUCCGGCCUUGGUAUCAGGUAUAAGCACCCAUGUGAUGAGGGGACUGGCCAGCUCUAGACAGUGCCUUUCACCAGCUGUUGUUGAAGAAGCAGAAUGAUUAUCUAUUUUAUAACAUCCCUUUCUCAGGGGCUCAAAGAUUGGGGCAUGGUGUUGGGGAGAAUGGCGUAGUCUCCAAUGAGAUGUGCAAGGAAGAUAUAGGAGAAUGGGUAACGGGAGACCUUCCCACGCAGACACAGCAGUAUCUGAGCAAAGAGUGUUAUGAUAUGGGUUAUCAUCCUGUUUCUGGAAAAGAGCAGGUGAAACGCACAUUCUGGUGCUGCCCAAUCCUGCAUCACCUACAGACUUAUACUUGUACCCAGGAGUUGGCAGACCACAGGCUGCAGGCCCCAUCUGGCCUGUUACCUGUUUUUGUAAAUAAAGUUUAUUGGAGCAUGGCCACACCCAUUCAUUUAUUUCAGUGGCUGCUUUUGCGCUUUACAUGGCAGAGUGGACAGAAUGAAUGGAUCCCACAGCUUGAAAUAGUUACUCUCUGGCUUUUUGUAGAAAGUUUGCAGACCUUUGCUCUUUAUCCACCUCUGUCCAGACAGUGAAAUCUAGGGCAUCUCCUUUAUCGGAAGAUCUCUAGUUUUUAACAUUUGCUGCUUAUUAUUAUUUCAAAUUCAGCUCCUUCUUGUUCUUCUCCUCUUUGCUCCUGGAUUAUUUCAGGAGUCUCAUUUUCAGUGGGUGCUGUUUCCUUCUCGAGGAUAUUUGGAUUUUUGAGAUGGAGGGCUUUGAUGAUCGGGAGCUACCACUGGUAUUGUGGGGGGCUGGCAGAGGUUCUAAAUAUCCCCCAGCCGGCAGGACAGCCCCACAGUAAAUGGCAGAGUGUACUCACUCGGAGAACCACUUACCUGGUUUUUGUUUUUUGUCCAUAAUUUAAAGUUUUUCAGGAAAUUUUUGUAACAUCUCCUAGCAAUGAGGUAGUCCUUAAUGCUUCACACUCCAGAUGCUUUCAUGCUUUGUGUACCUUAUUUUCGUUGCUAGCAGACGCAGGAAACCAUCAGAUAACUGAUCUGCCUGACAGUGACAUGGAGAAGUCACUUCAGUGCUCUCUCUCCCCUCUUUCUCUGUCUCCCUCUCUUACACACACACAUUUGCUCCUACAUCCUCAGUGCUGCCUUCUGUCAACCCUAAUGACUCUGCUUUAGUCAAUUUCCAGGACAGAAUGUUCCUUUCAUUUCUGUUUUGUGUGGUGCUGGAGAAAACUUGGAUCUCCUUUUUGUUAUCAUAGGAAUCACCAGCCUUUGUAAAUCCUGCUUAAAAAAAUAAAAAGUAGGGGCCAGCCUCCUGGCUGAGUGGUGAAGUUUGUGUGCUCCGCUUUGGCAGCCCAGAGUUCACUGGUUCAGAUCCUGGGUGCGGAUCUACACACCCCUCAUCAAGACAUGCUGUGGCGGCCUCCCGCCUAGAAGAACUAGAAUGACCUGCAACUAGGAUAUACAGCUAUGUACUGGGGCUUUGGGGAGAAAAAAAAAGAGGAAGAUUGGCAGUAGGUGUAAGCUCAGGGCCAAUCUUCCUCACCAAGAAAAGUAUUCUUAAAUAAAUAAAUACAUAAAUAAAUAAGUGUCUCCUUAACUCUUUGCUCCCUCAGCCAGUCCUCUUUGCUUCUGAGACCCGGCUUAUAGCUUUUAGCCAAAGGAGGCCAGCUGGGCUCCCCCACCAAAGAGGGAGGCUGGCUGGGGGAGAGAUGUUUCCUAUAGCCCAUGACAGCAGCAAGGCCCCCGAUGAGAGACAGAGAAAGAGACAGGGGUGUCAUUGUUGGAGGGAAGGGCAUAGCAGUGGUCCCAAGGAGAGUGGGGCUCAGGGAGGGGUGUGGCCAUGGCCUAUGCCUGGAGUUAAGAGUGGAAGACUGAUGAUGCUUGGCAUCCCAGGAGCACGAAGUCAGUGCGGAGUGACAGUGGACCAUAGAACCUCCAUCAUUAGAGAGAUGUGGGCGCGGUAGCUGGAGUAGAGGUGGGCAGCCUGUGAGAGACAAUUCGGUUUUGAGAUUUCCAGGGAGACUCAAGAAGGAGACAGUCUUGAGCUUCUGCCAUUUGGGACGGGGGUGAUGGAUGUGGGUCAGGGUGCAGGACUAACGUGUUUGAGACAUCCUUAGGACCAACCACCCUGGGUGAAACCUAGGGGACGUUCAAGUGACACAGAUGAUGGGGUUUCCAUGGUGUAGAGCAGUGGUGCUCAAACAUCAGCGUGCAUCAGUCAGCCCCAGCCCCGCCUCUAGGGUUUCUGAUGCAGUAGAUCGAGAAUCUGCACUUCUAACAAGUUCCCUGGAGAUGCUGAUGCUGCAGUUCUGGGGACCACGCUUGGAGAGCCACUGGCCUGGUGUAAAAGAGAUAAACAGUGAAGCCCAUUCGUGUCCGCCAAAUGGAACUAAGAUAUGAUUCUAAGAUGGAAAAUAAAGCUGAUUGUAUAUGAAGAACAGUAAUUUGGUCCCCAUCAGGUUGGUUACCGCAUCAGAGUUCCUAAGUUCUAGAAAAGGUUAAGUUAGUUUAGCCAAAAUGCUGUUGAGCAAUAACAUGAUAGUGGAGACUUUCUUUACAAUCUAAUUGCUCUGUAUUUUGGGAAUUUAUUCACUAUAAACAGGAAGAGUGUCUCAAAACUGAGUUUUGGCUCUUUGUAAUUUUGAAUCCUGUUGGCUGACUCAGUAACGAGAUUCCUUCAUUUGAACUUUUAUGUAUAAAAGAAGAUAAUCCAAGGGCCUUCUUUCACUAUCUGGGUUUGUCCUCCUCAAUAUCAAGUUGAUAGACUCUCAUUUCUUCUCUUUUUAUUUCUGAUUAUAACAGAUACUUGAUAGAAGAUUUGUACACAAAUGUAAAAAUAACUAAAAUAUAAACAAAAAAUGCUCAACAGACAUAUAAUAAACAGCGUAACUGUAUGCUUCAAAAAUAUUCUGAAUGAUCUGGAAAUAGACUCUAGGUCUUUAACAGAACUGCUGUCUUUGCCGUACGUUAGGGUUUACUCUAUGUAAGGAAGGAUACAUAAGAGCCCACCAGUAGCCUUUUAAAGCAAUUGUGCAAAUUUCUGAAGAGCUCUUAGUUAUUUCUCUGUUCACAUUAGGCAUGUCAGUCAUUCAUUGAGUCCUUAAAAAUCCUUAUAAGGAUUAAUUUGCGUGCAAGUGACUCAUUUGAAAAGGAAAGUGUUGAAAAUCUUGACCUUGCAAUCGGAGCCUAUUCACGAGGGCCAGAGCUAUUGACUUUCUUUCGGUUUUGCUCAGCGGAUCCAUUUAGUCCUGUCUCAGCCCCGGUGGUGGCAAUAGGGCAUGGGACUGAAUAACACUUUUGGAUCCUUUAGAGCUACGUUUAUUCACAAUUUGUUGGGAUUUUGGCCAAGGCUCUCCAACUUUCCCGUGUUUGGGUCUCACCAUCUGUGAACCCCAUUGAUGUUGUAUAAAUUAAUAAAGUGCUCUGUGAGCCCAGGAGGAGAGACUUUUGGGGUGCCAAGAGGAAUCAUAAUAAAUAAUAUUAAACAGCUCCAGGGAUUUUAACAAUAUUUACAAUUUUGGCUUCACACACUUGGGGAUUUGGAAGCGUUUUUAUAAAACCGCCUUGGAAACCAUGCAUCAGGCUUCUUUUGUGCGAUUGGCAACGUUUCAGAAACCACAAGGAUGCCUGCUUCUCAGAGUUGUUUUAAUGGGAAUUCUGUCCAUAUGGGUGAGAACCUGCCUCCCCGUAAGGCGUUUUUUGCUGAGAAUCCCUCCUUAAUCCCAGCGAUGUUGGUGGCUGGUGACCGUGAACGUAUCCUCUGCGGAAGAGGGACAAGCAGGGGAAAGAAUGAUGUGGCUGGUGGUUUCGGUGUUAUUGGGGUGGCUGGUGUUUUCAUAGAAUUAUCUGCAGAACUUGAAAAACUUGUCUGACGGAGCGGGCGUUGGGAGAGACUGUGCACUGUUUUUGGGGAUUUGUUGAUUUUUAAGGUGGAAGGUGAACAAGGGAGGGGCAGGGCAAUACAUACCACUGUGACGCUCGCACGUCUGCUCUGUUAGGGUUUUGUCCAGACCUUUAGCGUUCUCAAUCUUAGAGCUUCCCUAUCUGUGACUCACAAAUUCUACUGUCAACGUUCAGUCUAGGAGCUGAAAAAAGUGUUUCUUCGGGCCGAGGACACCAGCAUGGCCUGUUCCUUUUCUGUCCCCAUAUUUGGUAACAUGUAGGUUCUUCCAGAAGAAUAGCUACACCUUGUUUUAUGUUGGCUUAGUAGAGUUUGGGACCUAGGACUUCAAUAAAGGUUUAUUGCAUUAUUAAUAGUAAUAAUAAUAGACAGCAGUUUAUUGUGUUAAUAUUAAUCAUAGACAAGCUUAUUGCAUUAACAAUCAUAAUGAUAGACUACACUUUAAGGGUGCUCACUACAUGGCAGGCGCUGUUCUGAACCCUCGCUGUGUAUUAACUUAUUUAAUUCUCAUGAGAAUCUUGUGUGGCAGGAUCCUAAUCCUUUUAUUAUCUCCAUUUUACGGAUGGAAGCUGUGCCACUGAAAGUUUAACCAACUUGCUCAAGGUUAUUUGGGUAGCAAAUGGUGGAAUAUAUAUCCGGGUACACUAGACGGAUUUGAUCCCUCUGACAUCAAAUUCUUUGUUCUUGGUCAUCGCGCUAUAGACCCAGUACUCACAAGUUUGAUAGAUUAUAGAGAUGUCUGGAUUUUGUCUUGGAAACUGCUCAAGAAUACCAACAUCAGGGGAUAAAAUUUUCUUUAAAGAUGGUAACUCUUAAGCCAGGAAACUCAAUUUGUGUUACCUGACACUUUGAGAUGGGGUGCGGGGUGGAGAACGAGCUAAAUAGCUGCUCGGGCCGUGGUCUCCAAGGGGGCUCGCGUGUUUGUGUAUCUUCGAGAAGAGUUUAGGAUGGCAAUCUCUUUGAGUACUUCUUGUGUUUUGAAUUCUGUAGGAGACCAGUUCUUCGGACUUUUAUAGCUAAACUAGUUGAGGUUCAUUCGAGUUAAUCUUGGGAAGACAGAGGUGAGUUUUGUGGGUGAGAGAUUCUGCUGGUUUUUGCUCUUCUUAAUGUCAUCUUUAAAUGUCUCUUAUCUGUAUUGCGUGUGUGUUGGGGCGAGUGGGCUAGAAGGGGGUAUCAGUGGCAGGGCAAAGCACGGAAUUCAGUAGGGAACUGCCCCAUGGUGGGAAUAGGCUGAAGAAAUUAACUUUCUUGGACUUCUCGAAGAGAGUGUGAACUCUGCUGGGAGACGUCGCCUUGCUGCUGCCCCUCCCAGGACUGAGGUGAUGUGUUUGUGGAAUUAUAUCUACAAGUUUUGAGGUGCAAUAUCAAAGUAAUAGAAUUUAGGAGGAAAGGGGAACGCUAAUGGGAGCAAAAUCCUGCAAAGCUCGCUAUAAAUGUGAUAAGUGGCUGUUCUUUUUCACUUAAGUAAUUAUAGACUCACAAGAAAUUGAAAAAUAAUACAGAGAGGUCCUGUGUACCCAUCACUCAGUGGUGACAUCUUGCUUUAACUGUAGUGCAUUAUCAAAAGUAGGCAACUGAUGUUGGCACAGUGCAAUUAAGAAGACUGCAGACCAUACUGGGAUUCUGUCAUUUUUUUGCAUGCAUUGUUUUUUGUUUUUUUGAUAGUACUUACUAUAUGUAAUUUGACCAGUGUUUCCUGAUGGCCAGGAGAACCUCUGACUAAGGCUGUAAUAAAUAUUUUACAGAUACACGAUUUUCAGCUGAAUGAUGUUCGCCUCAGUGUUUUUAACAUGGCAAACGGUUGAGUGGCAUGUGAAGUCUGGCAGCUGAGUUACGAAACAGAAACCAAACCAUUUGGUUAUUUUCAUUUAUGGUCCUGAACUCUUCGGGGCUACUAUCGUCAUUUUUGUUGCCUUUUCAGAGGGAGGGUAUUUUCUGGAGAGAAAGGAUAAUGCAAGGUCCUUGUGUCAUAGUAAGAUCUCUCGGAGGGGAUGAUAAACAGAUGUUGUUAUCCCAGGAAAAGGGAGGGAUUUUGAUUAAUCAGAUAAAAGGUAUGGACUGAUGGGACUCAAAGAUUGUGGAUGCAAUUUCAUGAUAACUGUUAGAGUGGAUUUACUUUUAAAAUGACAGCCCUGGAUGCUUUGGGGCUAAAUGUCGGCUGCUGCGCACUGUGAUUAAUUGCUCCUGCCUGUGCCAUCCCAUCACCCUUUGCUGAGACUUCCAAUUAGCCUGUGUCACUCUCUGCCCUGGAUUUGAGCUGUUUGUGGGGGUGCCUGUCUUCUCAGCUAGACUAGGAAUUCUUUGAGGGCAGGGACUGUCUAAUUCAUUUUUUGGCUUUUCUCCUCCUCCCUUUCUCCCAGGAUCAAGCAAGAUUAGAGCAUAAUAAGGGCUCUCUAUUCCUUUGCUUCUGGCAAUUUCCAGACCAUUCCUCAUUCUAGGUUCACUUCUUUAUGUAUUUACCCGGGCUUCUGUUAUGUGUAUUUGAGACCAUUAAGUCUUAAUUUAUGAUUGCUAAUUGUGUAAUUUGGGGCAACCAUGGGUCAGGCUGGCCUUGUUCUAGGGUUCUAUCAAACAGCAUUAAAACAGCCCGAGAGUUUGGUAGAUUUUGUUGUUCAAAAAAGCAGUGGGAAGUUUUUGUUUGUUUUUUCCCUAUAGUAUAAAAAUUUUUAAAAAGUAUAUUCAUUUUUUAUACUUAACUGUUAACACCUGGGAUAAUUAUUUAAAAUUCUUCUGCCUCAUGGCUGCUUUUUGGGGUUGGGCUUUUAAGGAUGUUGGCAAUGGUCUAUGAUGAUGACCUCUCCAACCGUCAGUGGUGCUGGGGGGGCCUUGUCUUCUGUGAAACCUACAGGAAGAUAAGGUUUUCAAUCACCUUUUCUAACACGAAGGGGAAAUACUAUGUCUUCGGGAUCACUUGGUUAUAAUGAAAUGGAAAGACGUUCUCGAAUAAACUCAUAUAAAAAUGAUGCUACUGAAGGGAGAGGGGGAAAUGCCGUGGGCAAUCAAGGAUCUGCAGGCCUCGUGGGGAAGGUAGGAAAGUCAGGGAGGGACACCGUUCUCCCAUUUUUCAGAGGCCCGCGUACUUUGUAAUUUUUGGUUUCCUCUACGAAGCUCUGCUCUUCGUUUGCCCCUGUGGCAGACUAGCUUUCUUGCUUUACCUCUAGCUUCUCAGAUUCUCAUAUUUACUGCUUGCCAAAUGGCCUUGACUUGGUAUAAUGUUGCUCUAGUCCAAUACUACACAGUCUUUCCUUAGAUAACAUCUUGGCCCCCCAGUGUCUCAAUUCCAAAUUAAGGGAGAGUCUGUUUGGCCCAUACUGAGUCAUGUUUCCACCUCUGGUGCUGGAAUGAAGGGGUCAUAUGUACUUUGGGUGGUCCAGACUCGUCUAGGCAGGCUCUCAAGAAGGCGGAGUUGGUAGGAGGCAGUGAUUGGCAUGGCUGCCAUAUCCCAGUCAAGGAACAAUUCAGCAUUGUUUGUAUUUGGCUCUGGGUUGCAUUAGGGAAAAGGGCCCAUUCCUUUUUGGCCUUGUCUUACUCUCCAGCUUUUCCCCGUUGGAAUUUUAGGUCUAGACAGUAGAAGGAGGAAGAGGUGCAGGAGUGCUGUAGUCUGUUUGCAAGUCAUGAAGAGUUGGUUACUAACACUAAUUCAAAACAGGGUUGGUUGCAUACAUAACCAGUCAAUAUUUAAUUAAAAAAAUACUUUCAUUCAUGCCUUUGAAUUAAAUUAAUGCAUUUGAAUUUCUCUUUCUAAUGCACUUGUUUACUUUUUGAGUUCUUAACAUAGACUUAAAAAAAUACAUAUUCAUUGUUCAGAGAUGCCACUUUUACAGCCAAGAACUUCUGUUGUAUGUUGAAGUCUUUGGAUGAGAAGGGGACAGCGACAGAACGGCAAGAAGGAGAAGAGGGGUAGGUAAGACCUGAAGGACUCAUUGCCCCACUAACUAGCUAUGUUACCUUGGUAACUUAGCGUUUUUCUUUUUGGUUUUUUUUUUGUGUGUAAGGGAGAUUGGCCCUGAGCUAACAUCCAUUGACGAUCUUCCCCUUUUUUGCUGAGGAAGAUUGUCCCUGAGCUAACAUCUGUGCCCAUCUUCCUCUAUUUUGUAUAUGGGAUGCCACCACAGCAUGGCUUGAUGAGCCCUGCUAGGUCUGUACUCAGGAUCUAAACCUGCCAAUCCUGGGCUGCCAAAGUGGAGCGUGCGAACUUAACUGCUAUGCCACCGGGCUGGCCUGGUAACUUAGUUUUUUGAAACUUGGUUUCUUUGUCUUUAAAAUGGGGUAAGAAAAGUAUCCAUCUCAUGAUGUUGGUGAGAGGAAUCAAUGAGAUAAUGUAUUGAAAGGUACUUUUAGGCACUUGGGAUGUCCGAAUGAACAAAAUAUACAAAGAUCUUGCAAAAUGCAUGAAGAUCUUUCAGUAAUUGCUGCCACCCCUCUAAUUUAUAAAUAAAAAAGAGUGGCAUCCUGACCUUUCCUUCCAAUUCUAAAAAAAUUUAAGUUUUUUAGAUAGGACCAUGCGGCAGACAGGUGCGCUUAUUGUCUUGUGAAAAUUAGGGUAUGUGAGUGCAGGUGUGUGCAAGUCCACGAUCAGGAGCCAUUCAAAAUCCAUGAAAAUAUCAACCUUCUUUGAAAAAGUUCCGUUUUUCAAGGCAAACAUUAAGUGAGCUUUGUUUGAGUUAAGGGAAUAAAUAAAACUUGUGGGAGGCAUUUAUGAGCUGAUAUCUUGGCUUUGAUGACCCGGGGAAAGACAUUCCUCCUUGUACAGGGGGUAACUCAUUUUGCUUUUAUGAAAUCAAAGUUAAAAAUCUUAAUGGGUUUUAAUAACCCCAAAUGUCAUGUUGAAUUUAAGUUUCAGUUAAGUCGGACAGUUUCAGAUAACACCUCUUUGUAAUUGCUAUGGUUUACUCAUCUCUUGGGCUAUAACAUAUACCUCAAGACAUCAGAUCUUCCAUUUGUAAAAAUUUCACAUUUUGCAACCUUUGUGGUGAGAAACAGAAACUUUUAGGGACAGGCUCUUUUAGAUGGAUGGAAAUAUUUUUUCCUCAGUGGAUCCACACAAGUCAUUCCAGCAGCCAAAGGAAGCAAUUUCCUUUCUUUGCCUUGGGAUUUGAACAAUAAUAUUUUGUAUACAAUUAUUUAACUUAGUUGACCUAAACUUUAAUUUAUUCUUUGUUUAGCAUUUAUAGAUUGUUAUAUUAUGUGCCCUAAAUUCAAGUCAUUACAAUUUGAAAUGGUCCAAAGAAUUUAAGGGUAUGCUGGUUGAAAUUUUCAAGAGAGAAUUUAGCCAAGCUAGUACAAAAAAAUAAUUCCAUCGCUUUACCGACAAAUCGUAUGUAUGUCUGUGGGGGCAUCAAUGUCAUAUGUAAGAUGUUCAAGGAAGAUCUGUAAUAAUAGAAAGUUGCUACUCUUUAUCCUACAUAGUGUUAGUGAGUAAAACAACCAAUUUCAUCUUGUGGGGUUAACUUUGGCUUUGGUGUUCUUUAGUUCUUCAAAGAGUGUCUAAUUGUUUGAGAAGAGACAGAGCUUAGUAACAAGAGAUGCUGAUGUUUACAUUUCUCUUUCUUCUUCAUCUGUUACACAGAACAAGUGAUCAACUCCAUAUUUUCUCAUCACACUAAAUAAUUCCCCAAAAUGGCCAAUGCUCUUGUUAGUGUAACUGGUCAUCAUUUUUCUUCUUCACUGAGGUAAUCUUCAGACCCCGGGAACAAUGAAUGUUGCUAUGAGGCCCGUCAAGUCCUGCCUGUAGCAGGAAUUCAGCAAUGACAAUGCUUCCACCAUUUAUCCAUGUGCCCGACCACGUGCUUAGGCAUUUGAAUAUGAGGGAGAAUAGAAAAGAUGUGGGCUACUUCCAAGGGUUAUAUUAGUUUUCGUUUUUAAUGGAUUAAAAUUAUAUGGUGGUUUAUUUAAAAAACCUGCACAUUUCCAUCAGUAACGUAAACCACUGCCCUUGUGUGGGAAACUGGCCAGGACUCCCUCAGGCCCAAUCUCAUCCACAGUUAUUCAUUGAGAGGGACGGCAUAAAAAGUAAGGUUGUUUAAAAAUUUUCCAUGCCAUUCUGAAAACAGGUGCUUCCUUUGUAAGUGCAAGUGAGUGAAUUUAUGUGGUCAUUUCAACCCAAUUUAAACCCUCGUUCUAAAGAACAAAGACAUUUUCUUUGCCCCGAAGAUUGACAUUUGCUUACAGGCACUAGGCACUUCCUGUGACCCUGGGUCCCAUUCUGCUGGUGCUGUCGGAGAGGUCAAAGGGAAGGCAGCACAUUGGUGCACAUGGGAGGUGCUCAGAAUCUGUGCGUAUCAGCACAGAGGCAGGCUGAAGCCUGCUUAGAUAUUUAUCAGGGGCUUUAUGGUGUGUCCAUUCCAAAAGUGAGCAGUGGGAACCUCUGAGGUCCCUUAGUUCUCAGUAAACGGUCAGUGUUGAAACCUGCUCCCCUGCUCCUUCUGAUCUCUCUCUCCUGUCCUUUUCCUUCUGCCUUCUCACUUUCCCUGCCAGCAAGCAGCGCCGGCAACUUCACAUCUGACUUCUGGAAGGGAAUGAAAGACUUUCUUUCUGUAUAGAGAGGUUUCUUUUACACAGAGCUGUCUUUGAUGGGGGAGACGUCCCCACAACAGAUUUAGAACGUGAAGUAUUGGCACCGAGCCAGAGAGGACAGCCAUCAAUUGUAGUUUGAACGAGGUUUCAUCACGUCUUUGUCCUGUCAUCUCGUUUUUGGCGGGGAAUAGUGGGUGUUCUGUUAAACCGAGAGCGGCUUUGGUCAGUGCGAUUGUAAUACUUUAAAUUCGAGACACCACGUUGACAUCCACUACUCUAAGGUAUUUGGGUGCUUAACAAAAUGUUCUAAAGAGUAGGAAUAAUGAUUCCAAACUGAUGCUAAGGAAUGCUUUGAAUUUAUACAGAACUAGAGUUUUACAAGUGGCAAGCUAUCUUGCCAACAUUUUCUUUGUCUAAACUUUGAGAAAGACAAUAAGUGAUAGGAUUUCUGGAAAAUGAGAAUGAUCUUUCUUGGCAGUUUUUAGAUUUCUGGUUGAAAAAAAGGUGAUCUGAAGAAAAUCUAACAGAACGUAAUGUGUUCAUUUUGGGUGGCAGGUAUAAGGAUGUUUGUGUAUUGAUCUCUACUAUUUUUGAAGGUUUUUCAAAAGAAGGGAAAAAAGAUAAGGAGAAGAGAAAGGACAGAAGCAAGCAAAUGAUGGAAGCAUGGGCCCAUAAUAGUGCUUUCUGAUGCAAAAAGGCCUGUGUAGGAAUUUGGUACUGGGUAUGUGGCUUUGGCCAAGUCAACUUCUCUGCCUCGGGUUUUUUUUUUUUUUUUUUUUUUUUUCUUGGUAAGGAAGAUUGGUGCUGAGCUAACAUCUGUUGCCAAUCUUCCUCUUUUUGCUUGAGGAAGCUUGUCCCUGAGCUAACGUCCGUGCCAAUCUUCCUCUAUUUUGUAUAUGGGAUGCUGCCACAGCAUGGCCUGAAGAGCGGUGUGUAGGUCUGUGCCUGGGAUCCGAACCUGUGAACCCCGGGCCACCGAAGCAGAGUGUGCAAACUUAACCCCUAUGCCACUGGGCCAGCCCCUGCCUCGGUUUUUAUAAAAUGUCAUUUAUAAGUGGACAUGAUAGCCCUUUGUUAAGAGAUAAUAUCUCCUUAAGAGCCAAACACAGUGCCCAGUACAUAAAAGAUACCUCAACAAUCUUCUUUCCCUUUCGUUACCUCUUUAGUGUUGCAUUACGAAUCUUUAGCUGAAUUGAACGCAGACUCUCGUCUGCCUGGUCUUAAUAUCCGUCUUACUGAAUUGUUGUUUGCUUAUAUGCAGUAAUGUCACAGUGACCCCAGGAUCCCCUUGCUUUUGUUUCUUCUUACCACGAAAAGGUAUUAGGACAGAAAAGGUUAUUAUUAUUAUUUUUUAAUUUAACCAUAUUUAUGGAGGACCAACUCAGAGCCAGGCUGUAUUCUGGGAGCUAAAAGGUACAAUGGGAAUAAGACGGACCAAGUCACUGCUCCCAUGGAGUUUCAGGGGAGGCAGAUUAUCAAGAACAAGUGUCAGGGGACAAUAAUGGCAUGAAGAAGAGUAAAGUGGCGUCGAGGGAUGCGGUGUAUCUCUAUUAGAUAGAAUGGACCGCGAAUGCUUCUCUAAGGAGCCGCCAUCUUGAUGUCUGCACAGAGGCAGGGAGCGAGCCUGGUGGAAAUCUGGGGAGAGAGCAUUCCAGGCAGAGAGAACGAGGCAUGUGUUGAAGAACCACAAGAGGCUCAUGUGGGAAAGGCAGGCAAGAGCCAGGAAUGAGGCCGCAGGCCAAAUCACCUGCAGGAGGCCCUGGUUUGGAUUUUAUUUGGGUGCACUAGGAAGCCACAGUAAGUUGAACCACAAAACUGGCCGCUCUACUACUCUUAAGAGACUUGGUGAGGGAUGUUUUGCAGGGAAGAUGGAAAAUCACAGUGUGUCUGUUCCGUUGAUUACCAUUCCCAUCAUAGAAUAAUUAACUGCUAGCUGUAAUUAUAGGACUUCCUCUAAUUUAGUUUAGCACUCCUGGGACCUCUAUUAGCCUAUAUCCCAAUCAAUUUCACAGUCAUUAAGAGGGAACGUGCCACAGUCCUGUUGAAUUUUAAAUCUCGUGGGAGAACCAUCCACCUAUUUGUUUUCGCUCCUCUAGACUGCCUUAUUUUCUUUCAGUUCAUAAGGUUUACCCCCCUCUGUUCAGGCCCUCUCCUCUGGCAUGCUGAUUCAGGCUUGUAGCAUGGAGUUAUGCUAAUUAGGAUAUUCUUUCACAGAUAGUUGUUAAUGAAUUCCAUGCAUCUCACGUCCUUUUUGUAACCUCUCAAAUUCGUAUAACAAAAAGUUUCAGCGGACAGCCAAGGGACCGCCAAGGGAUCACUGUCCCCUCCGCAAGAUAGGUGUUUCAAUGUUUAUUCUCACGUCUGGCACCUCUUACUAGCCUCAUAUCCUCUAUGUAAGUUCCUUUAUGCAGAGAAACGUGACCACAUCUGUUUUCUCAGUUGGGUUGAACAAUAAGUUCCCCUGUCACAGAAAUCACAGAGAAGGUCUUCCUUUUUGCCUCUUUGACAUAUCGGGUGACUUGCUGUGUUUAGAUAACCCCGGCCUCCCAGGGUUCCUCUUGUCCAAUUUUCUCCGCUGCUCUUGUGGUGAAAGCCAUCCUUGCUGUCACAUCACAUCACUGCAGGGGUGUGCGCUCCCGGUCCCCAGUGGAUGGCUUCUCUGUGGAGGCAAACGGUGAUCUUAGUGCUGGUUGUGAGUUCACUAGAAGUAGCCCCUUGAGAAGCAGGGGCUUCUCCAGACAGCUCAGUCUUAUUCGUUAUGAAAUAGUGUCUUUAGCUUGCGGGGAGGAACUAGCAUCCCUCCAUACCAUAGAAGAAACCAAGAUUUACGGUCACAGGAGUGAGGGAAUGGCUGGCCAGUGCUGGCAGCCAAGUCAUCAUAAACAUGAACCCUGUAUCUACUUGUGUGUUCUGGCAAGCCCGUGUGUGUAUGUGUGUGUGUAAAAGGAUAGAUUUUAUUUUUUAGAAUAGUUUUAGAUUCAAAGCAAAACUGAGCAGAAAGCACAGAGAGUUCCCACAUACUCCUUGGCCCCCUACCCCUCCAAACCCCCAUCCUCUCCCACCAUCAGCUUGCCCCCUACCCCCCCAGAGUGGUACAAUCCAUGAACCCACGUUGACACAUCAUUAUCGCCCAGAGUCUACUUUACAUUAGGGUUCACUCUUUGUGUUGUACAUUCUGUGAGUUUUGACAAAUGUAUAAUGACAUGUAUUCAGCAGUAUAGUCUCAUACAGAAUAGUUUCAUGGCUCUGAAAAUCCUCUGUGCUCCACGUAAUUAUCCUUCCCUCUGCCCCAACCCCUUGGCAGCCACUGAUCUUUUUACUGUCUCUGUAGCUUUGCCUUUUCCAGAAUGUCAUAUAGUUGGAAUCAUACAGUACGUAGCCUUUUUAGGUUGGCUUCUUUCACUUAGUAAUAUGCAUUUAAAGUUCUUGUAUGCCUUUUCAUGAUUUGAUACCUCGUUUCUUUUUAGUGCUGAAUAAUAUCCCAUUGUAUGAUGC